GGCAAAGGAUUCCACUUUAGUCCACACUUUCUCUUGGUUUCAAUUGCAUAAAUUUUCUCACUUCCAAAUUUUCAUCUUCAGUUCCCACUUUCCCUCUAUCCUUUCUCAUCGAUCGGUUGUUUUUGGGUGCUGCCAUAUGCGGAUACAAUAAAAGGGUUAGCGACGGUGGUAGCCAAUCAAAGAGAGCAGUGCCGAGUUCCACACUAUUCUGGUCCAUUGCCGCUGCAAGACCCCUGUUUGAUGGUUUGGCGGCAGGACAGCUAAUGGUCAGAAGAGUUUUGGGAAAAUUUUGGACAUCGGAACCGUAUUAUAUUACAUGGGAUUGAAUCUCCCCCUUCUUCUUGGUUCAAGGGAAACUGAAACAAAAUAGGAAACAGUGUUGCAAGAUAUCUAGGACUGGAUAUCUCAACGGGAUGGAAUAAGUGAAAGGAAGCAGGGAAGAUUAGCAUUAAUCAUGGAAUUCCAUAUGGAUGGUUCUAGUUAAACAUGGGGUGCAUCGGACACAGUCUCGCUUUUGGUCUUAGUUGUUAUAGCCUUAUAGGUGUUUUCUGAUUGCGCUACUACUCUUGUAGUUGUGACCCUCUCACAUUUUGUUCAGCUUAGUCAGGGACUAUUAUGCAGUAGUUGUUCUAAUGCUUAACCAUGAAAAACCUCAGUGGUUUUAUAUAAGCAGCUACUUACUACAUGCUACAUUUUGCUGUAAAGUACUAAAGGGAUUUGCCCUUACCACAUUAAUAGCGGUGUAACAUCCAU